GGCCGCAUUGCACCUCGCGGCC
rnacentral:misc_RNA from 1 species